AUUGAACGCUGGCGGCAUGCCUUACACAUGCAAGUCGAACGGUAACAGGUCUUCGGAUGCUGACGAGUGGCGAACGGGUGAGUAAUACAUCGGAACGUGCCCGAUCGUGGGGGAUAACGAAGCGAAAGCUUUGCUAAUACCGCACACGAUCUACGGAUGAAAGCAGGGGACCGCAAGGCCUUGCGCGAACGGAGCGGCCGAUGGCAGAUUAGGUAGUUGGUGGGAUAAAAGCUUACCAAGCCGACGAUCUGUAGCUGGUCUGAGAGGACGACCAGCCACACUGGGACUGAGACACGGCCCAGACUCCUACGGGAGGCAGCAGUGGGGAAUUUUGGACAAUGGGCGAAAGCCUGAUCCAGCCAUGCCGCGUGCAGGAUGAAGGCCUUCGGGUUGUAAACUGCUUUUGUACGGAACGAAAAGACUCUGGUUAAUACCUGGGGUCCAUGACGGUACCGUAAGAAUAAGCACCGGCUAACUACGUG
rnacentral:rRNA from 1 species